rnacentral:rRNA from 1 species
AGUGAACGCUGGCGGUAGGCCUAACACAUGCAAGUCGAACGGCAGCACAGGAGAGCUUGCUCUCUGGGUGGCGAGUGGCGGACGGGUGAGGAAUACAUCGGAAUCUACUCUGUCGUGGGGGAUAACGUAGGGAAACUUACGCUAAUACCGCAUACGACCUACGGGUGAAAGCAGGGGACCUUCGGGCCUUGCGCGAUUGAAUGAGCCGAUGUCGGAUUAGCUAGUUGGCGGGGUAAAGGACCACCAAGGCGACGAUCCGUAGCUGGUCUGAGCAGAUGAUCAGCCACACUGGACCUGAGACACGGUCCAGACUCCUGCGGGAGGCAGCAGUGGGGAAUAUUGGACAAUGGGCGCAAGCCUGAUCCAGCCAUACCGCGUGGGUGAAGAAGGCCUUCGGGUUGUAAAGCCCUUUUGUUGGGAAAGAAAUCCAGCUGGCUAAUACCCGGUUGGGAUGACGGUACCCAAAGAAUAAGCACCGGCUAACUUCGUGCCAGCCGCCGCAGUAA